UACGGGAGGCAGCAGUGGGGAAUAUUGCACAAUGGGCGAAAGCCUGAUGCAGCUAUGCCGCGUGUAUGAAGAAGGCCUUAGGGUUGUAAAGUACUUUCAUCGGGGAGGAAAAACAAAACUAAUAAUUUUAUUUCUUGACGUUACCCGAAAAAGAAGCACCGGCUAACUCCGUGCCAGCAGCCGCGGUAAUACGGAGGGUGCUAGCGUUAAUCAGAAUUACUGGGCGUAAAGAGCACGUAGGUGGUUUUUUUAAAGUCAGAUGUGAAAUCCCUGGGCUUAACCUAGGAACUGCAUUUUGAAACUGAAAUACUAGAGUAUCGUAGAGGGAGGUAGAAUUCUAGGUGUAGCGGUGAAAUGCGUAGAUAUCUGGAGGAAUACCUGUGGCGAAAGCGGCCUCCUAAACGAAUACUGACACUGAGGUGCGAAAGCGUGGGGAGCAAACAGGGAUUAAUACC
rnacentral:rRNA from 1 species